GAUGAACGCUGGCGGCGUGCCUAAUACAUGCAAGUCGAGCGAACAGACGAGGAGCUUGCUCCUCUGACGUUAGCGGCGGACGGGUGAGUAACACGUGGAUAACCUACCUAUAAGACUGGGAUAACUUCGGGAAACCGGAGCUAAUACCGGAUAACAUGCUGAACCGCAUGGUUCAACAGUGAAAGACGGUCUUGCUGUCACUUAUAGAUGGAUCCGCGCCGCAUUAGCUAGUUGGUCAGGUAACGGCUUACCAAGGCAACGAUGCGUAGCCGACCUGAGAGGGUGAUCGGCCACACUGGAACUGAGACACGGUCCAGACUCCUACGGGAGGCAGCAGUAGGGAAUCUUCCGCAAUGGGCGAAAGCCUGACGGAGCAACGCCGCGUGAGUGAAGAAGGUCUUCGGAUCGUAAAACUCUGUUAUUAGGGAAGAACAAAUGUGUAAGUAACUAUGCACGUCUUGACGGUACCUAAUCAGAAAGCCACGGCUAACUACGUG
rnacentral:rRNA from 1 species